rnacentral:snRNA from 1 species
CCAUCUCUCAAGCAUAGUGCUUUGAUCAAGUGUAGUAUCUGUUCUUGUCAGUGUGAUAACUGAUAGUCUCUUGAAGAGACAAUUAAUUUUUGGAAUAGAAACUUAAGUUAUAGUUUAUGAUUCGCUUGCGAUAAUAUAUUAUAAUGUAUGUUUCAUGUGUUGAUGUUUUCAUCAACACUAU